UACGUAGGUGGCAAGCGUUGUCCGGAAUUAUUGGGCGUAAAGCGCGCGCAGGCGGUCCUUUAAGUCUGAUGUGAAAGCCCACGGCUCAACCGUGGAGGGUCAUUGGAAACUGGGGGACUUGAGUACAGAAGAGAAGAGUGGAAUUCCACGUGUAGCGGUGAAAUGCGUAGAGAUGUGGAGGAACACCAGUGGCGAAGGCGACUCUUUGGUCUGUAACUGACGCUGAGGCGCGAAAGCGUGGGGAGCAAACGGG
rnacentral:rRNA from 1 species